GACGAACGCUGGCGGCGUGCUUAACACAUGCAAGUCGAACGGAAAGGCCUGCUUUCCCUUGUGGAUUGCGGGUACUCGAGUGGCGAACGGGUGAGUAACACGUGAGUGAUCUGCCCCCAACUUGGGUAUAAGCCUGGGAAACUGGGUCUAAUUCCCGAUAGGACUGCAGGGUGGUGCCUGUGGUGGAAAACGAUUUUCUAGUGGUUGGGGAUGAGCUCGCGGCCUAUCAGCUUGUUGGUUGGGUAAUGGCCUACCAAGGCGGGGACGGGUAGCCGGCCUGGGGGGGUGGACGGCCACAGUUGGACUGAGAUACGGCGCAGACUACUACGGGAGGCAGCAGUGGGGAAUAAUGCGUGAGGGGCGGAAGACUGAUGCAGCGACGCUGCGUGGGGAAUGACGGGCUUCGGGUUGUAAACUCCUUUCGGCCGAGAGGAAGCCACCUGGUUGGAAGGGUGGUGACGGUAGUGGUAGAAGAAGCACCGGCUAACUACGUG
rnacentral:rRNA from 1 species